GGAUGUGAUCAUACCAGCACUAAAGCACCGGAUCCCAUCAGAACUCCAAAGUUAAGCGUGCUUGGGCGAGAGUAGUACUAGGAUGGGUGACCUCCUGGGAAGUCCUCGUGUUCCAUUCC
rnacentral:rRNA from 1 species